AGCUGGGAGUUUACGGUCCAUUAUCAGCCUGGAUACCUAUGUUUUGAAAAGUCUGCAGUUCUAAGUUUACAACUGAUAUCAUGACUAUAAAAAAUGGAAUAAAUAUGCCGUAAAAUGGAUGUGUUAGGCUUGAAAGGGUAUGCAGCAAACAAAAACAACAAUAGUGUGUUAUAAUAAUACCACACAUUGUGAAAAUACUGAAGCUGAUUACUGUGAAGUCACCAGAAGGCAGCGAGACCUCAUACUGUCUGUAUGAAGGAACUGAUAUUUCCUGCCGCAUAUUUCAAUUUGUCUCACAGCCACUGCUGCAUAACUUAAAAAAAGAAAGAAAGAAAGAAAAAAGAAAACACCGACUGUUGCAGGGCAGGAGGGAAAGCAAAGAAUGAUAAUAUUCGCAUUAGGCAGCUGUUUCCACUCACUGUACUUUGUAGAAAAGUAAAAACUGAAGAGAGACGUGAGCAGUGAAAUACAGCAACCAUCAAGUAAAGAUUUUGAUCUGCUGACAACUCAUCUGUUUUUGAAGUUGUGAAAUAAUACCUCUACUGGACAUUCAACACCUAAAUACCACCUCAAUACUACCACCUAAAUACUACCUCGACUGGACUGCCAGCACCUCAGAAGAUGCAGCUGGACUGGGGUGCGUCUCUAACCACAGCUGGAUGGAUCGGUUUGGCAAUGUUAUUAGUGGCUGUUGGUCGUUUUCUAUUCCUAUGCACAGAUUGCCUUGAUGGAAAUCCAGUACAAGGCAAUCAACCAUCUAUACGUUUCUGGCUGCCAGCUGCACGACCUAGACAGGGGUCCUUCAGCAGACGUUAUGUAGAUCCACCACCACCUUCUGUGCUUUGUGUGAAUAGACAUCCUGCUGGUG